UUUAAUUAAAUUACAUGUAAACAUUUAUAUGUUGAAAGCUUUCUGUUAUAAGAACAGGUGUCAGAAUUAUUUAGUGUCUGUACAUGAAAGAACUUUUAAACAGUGGCCUUACAGUAUCAAAUUUUAUACUGGCUUUUCUUUUUCUGAUGACAUUUUGGCUUCUAACUUGAAGUUUUCUGAAGUUUCUGAAGAUCAAGGCCUGUAUGUGUCAUCCAUUUUGUAAUACAAUAUAAGAAGCUUAAAGAAGAGGUGCAUCUUCUCCAUCGGGUCGUGUGUAUCUUGGGUUUUCCCAUGACCAUUUGCUCUUUUCUAGUUUCAAAUGCUAUUGUGGAAAAUAUGUAAGGAUUUUAUAAUCUCUAUUCCAUCUUCUUUUCCCUCAGGGCAAGCUUAUGCAUAUUAUAUUUUUAAAGGCUUUUAAAAUCUGACAGACAAAACUGCAUAUUUGAACAUUGUACUUUACUACUACGGUAUUAGACAUUUUGCAGACACAUCUUACAGACAGCAUAUCUUUGGUUCAGUUGAUAGAUAUUUCAUAUCUACUAUGUGUAAGAUAGGAUCCAUGGGAUCGUAAAUACAGUCUAUAGGUCCAAAAACUUCUUUGUUUUCUUUCUUCUGCUUAAAAGUACAUAUACAUUCCCAGUCAAAUUUUUGUGACAUGUUUAUUUGUAAGAAAAUAAAAUAUUGUUCUUUCUGCUUGAAGCUGU
rnacentral:lncRNA from 1 species